AUAAUCGUUUUUUAACUAUUAGCUAAAACAGACGUUUGAGAGACGCUAAAGCUCUGCGAUUACCGAAAGUGCUUCAACUAGACGAAUUCCAAACAAAAAAAAUAAAGAAUUCUUGCUUCAGAUAUUUUUAAAUCUUAAUGAUUUUACCAAUAGCGCACUGACAUUGACGCUUCAGUCAUAUACGUACUAUGAAGUUAUGGUGCCAAGACCAGUAAUUACGAGAACAGCAUACCUUUACACAAAACAAUUAAUGGUAUAACAACCCACGAAACAUCAUUUAUUGAUUAAGCUAUUCCUUUUUUUAUUCUUCAUCCUCGAGUAAGGAGUAUGCAAUGCGGUCCAAGUCACGUUGACCUUGUUGUGAGAUACGACGGCCACCGUUGUCGGACUUCUCGAGGACACCGAUUUUUUCCAAACUUUGAACGACUUUGCGUUGGACACUGCCAGAUCCAUCACGGUGAUGAGAAGGACGCAUGCCACGGUUGACGGAACCACCAUAGACCUUGCAGAGACGACCAACACCGACUUGCUUACGAAGGUAAAUGUGACGAGCAAUAGCGGCAGCACGAACGUAGUACCAAUCAGGAUCGUACGGAGCUAAUUCCUUGUGAGUACCGGUCUUGACAAUAUCAAUCCACUGAGGAGUGGUCAUUUUACCUACGGAUCAGUUAGAAACUUGCUUUAUAGAAAGAAAUGAGUGAGUAAAUGUUAAUAAGCUACAAGUUCACUGUCAAUUUCACACGUAUGCUAAACAAUCUUAUUCUGUGAUCAGACAGAUGAAAACCUUCUACAACCAAAAGUUCCCAUUAACAGCUCAAUCUUCUACCUACCGGAGCGCUUUAAAAAAGCAGCAUAAGCAUUGAUAAACUGCUGAGCAUCGACGUCCUUUACGCUAACACCUGCCAUUUUACCGUUACUACUGGGUUAACCGUUAAUUUAGCUGGAUUGGAAUGCUAUACCAAAUUCGAU